UGUUUUAGUUCAUUGUUGACGAGCUAAAAUGUUUGAGAAGAUUAUCUUUUGUGUGUUUAAGGGACGUCGGAGGAACUUCCUCUCAAGGCAUCUGUAAAGUGGGGAAAGUGCCUUAGGGAUUUACAAAAGAAGACACUGUUAGAAGUUGAAUUCGUGGUGGUCGGCAACGGUACUCCGACAGUCAAGUUAGGGUGGAGAAAGUAGUGAAGAUCUUUUAGUAAAUAGGUAACAACUGAAAGUAAGAAGAUGAGAAUGAGGAAGGAGAUCUUUUUUACUUAUAAACUUGACCUAACCGAGGUGCCCCUGAGGACGUCUUUGAGUCUAUGUGGACACAUGGGAGACUUAUUGGUCCUGCCCCUCUUCAAUUAGGGUAAAAUGAUACAUGUAUGUUCUAUUCAAAUAUUGGAGCCCCUGUAAUAUUUUCCAUAUAGCUAUACACGCAUAUUUACUCUUUUGAUAUUUGGUCUCUUUGAGUUUGUUAGGGACUGAAGUUACUUGAAAAGUGGCAUUCCCUUGAUGAAUUUUAGGUACCUCAUUGAAUUUUGAUGCUCUUUGAUUUUUUAGGGGCUAGGCAUGUCUACUGGUCUCCCUGGAACGACCAAUUUAGGCGUUGUAACUUUCACCAGCAGGAGACUAUUUAGAAUUUAUUUGGAGAGGAGGAUGAUUAGUUGGAACAAACCUAUUGGUCUAUAGGUUAAUCGAGUUGGUGAAAUGUAGUGGAGGCCUUGUCAUAUCAAGCCUAGGAAAAACUAAGCUGGCUUAGGAGAAACUCCAAAACCCAGUAUGGCUUAGGUUGAAUUCAUGGUCUCCGCUGUCAAUCAUCACCUACUUGUUCCUCUUCGGAUAUUUUCUACUGCCCUGGGGGGCUUUAAGAUGUUAAGGAACAAAUGAGAUGGACUUCCCCUAUGAUGAGGAUUCCUGACCUUUCUCCUUAGACAUGCAGCAUUCUGUUUUAGGCCUCGAAAAUUAACCAUUAACAACGCAGCAGUCGAUUUUCAUGAAAACAUUAUGCAGCAAUGUAAUAUUAUUAUUUCUAAUUUAGUGUAAAUGUAGUUGCCGAUAUUAGUUGGCUGUUAAAUUACUUUCAUAAUAGUCGCUUACAUGAGUUUAUGAUUUCUCCAUUAUUUAUAUAUGCCCUCUCAAACUAAAUUCUUGUUCCACCACUAAUCUUGAAAUUUUUUAUUCGUGAUAUCAUUAGAUUGUAAUUUAAUGUUUUAAAAAAGAAACACUACUAUAUAUUUUUUAUGUACGGCUAGAAUUUUUUUUACUUCUGUUAACUGCUUAUAACAAACUUAUUUACUUAACGAAAGUUUUUCUCUAAGAAAGCUUUCAAAUUCUGAGAGGAGAAGCUAGAGUUUUUACAUUGGGAGGCCAAAAGAUGAAAUUAAUUUGGAGGGCCAAAUACAAAGAAAUCCUUUUACAAGGUUACUGACACAAUUUUCUUUUAUAGAUGAGACCUUAUCUAUAACAUAGAGUUAUUCACAUUUCAUACN
rnacentral:lncRNA from 1 species